rnacentral:lncRNA from 1 species
GGAAGUUCUCAUCAAUACAAAGAAUAUAAGUCCAAAUACGAGGUAUUUUACAUAUUCAGUUGUCGAGUUCCCUCGACUUUCUCUGGUCUCCAUCAUCAGGUCAGCUCCAAACCUUCACUGUUGCAAAGGUCUUGUCAAUACAAAUAAUUUAAGCCCAAACACGAGGUAGUUUACAUAUUCAGUUGUCGAGUUCCCUCGACCCUCUCUGGUUUCCAUCAUCAGAUCAGCUCCAAAUCUUCACUGUUGAAUAGUGCUUUUAGGCGUACACCUGAGUGUCAAGUUUUUACCCUAUGUAUGCCUACAACUUUCGAAGGUUGCCCUCGAUUUCUCAGGGUUUCCAUCAUCAGAUCCUGAUCUGAUGACUAUGGGACCAACUGGCAGCUAUUCCGAGUCGAACAAAAAAAGAAUCACGUAAAUCGGUCUAUAAACCUCGGAGUAAUCGAUGUACAUACAUAGAAAAAAAAAAAAAAACAUACCGGCCGAAUUGAUAACCUCCUCCUUUUUGGGAAGUCGGUUAAAAAUAA